CGAUGCGAUCAUACCAGCACUAAAGCACCGGAUCCCAUAAGAACUCCGAAGUUAAGCGUGCUUGGGCGAGAGUUGUACUAGGAUGGGUGACUCCUGGAAGUCCUCGUGUUGCAUUCC
rnacentral:rRNA from 16 species